GUCCGUAUUAAUAAAUAAAUAAAUUACAAUUUUUUCUUUAUCAACAUCACAAAAUAUAAAACGACUAUAGGUACCAGUACUAAUACCUGCACACCUAUAAUAUAAGUCGAUAAACGCAGAAAGCAAAAUAUUAUAUUAUUACAGAUAUCGUUUUUUGUAUAAGAAUUGAGACGGGUUCGACCACACGAGUGCGCUACGGAUACGACUGGGCAUAAUAAAUAAUACUAUGUAAAUUACAUCGAUAAAAAAACCGAACGAAAAUUGAAUUGCGAACAUGUUUUAUUUGCGAAUAGGUACAGAUAAUAAUAAGAUAUAAUAAUUAAGUGUAUGAAUACCCGUACCUAAUCGAUUUAUUCAGGGAUUGACAUUCAUUCAAAAGAGCGUUUCCCCGGACCAGUGCAUUUACUACAAACAAUAUAGAUAAUUAUCUAUUGACAGUACAGUGAAUGAUCUCUUGUCCGAUAAUAGUUUCGUUCAUAAACAAUCAUUAUGCCCGGAGUACACGGGAAAUUAGAAAAAUGUAGGUACCUAUAAAUCUACCCUAUCAUAUCUGAGCCUAUAGGAAAAGCAGUUUAAAGUGUCAAAUGUAGGCGGUUCACUUACUUAGCAUCGAAAAGGAGAUGCGUGAAUACGCUUUGAAAUAUUAGUCCGAAAAGAAUCUUAUUAAAUUUGAUACCACUGCUAACAAAGCCCCUUAAGUGGUUCGUAUGUCACAAUCUGGUGAAAUGUUUUGUUAUNA